rnacentral:rRNA from 1 species
GUGGGGAAUCUUGCGCAAUGGGCGAAAGCCUGACGCAGCCAUGCCGCGUGUAUGAUGAAGGUCUUAGGAUUGUAAAAUACUUUCACCGGUGAAGAUAAUGACUGUAGCCGGAGAAGAAGCCCCGGCUAACUUCGUGCCAGCAGCCGCGGUAAUACGAAGGGGGCUAGCGUUGCUCGGAAUUACUGGGCGUAAAGGGAGCGUAGGCGGACAUUUAAGUCAGAGGUGAAAUCCCGGAGCUUAACUUCGGAACUGCCUUUGAUACUGGGUGUCUUGAGUGUGAGAGAGGUAUGUGGAACUCCGAGUGUAGAGGUGAAAUUCGUAGAUAUUCGGAAGAACACCAGUGGCGAAGGCGACAUACUGGCUCAUUACUGACGCUGAGGCUCGAAAGCGUGGGGAGCAAACAGGAUUAGAUACCCGGGUAGUCC